GCGCGCAUGGGCAUCAUUACUUUCGGGCAAAGCACAGGCAGCUGGCGUGACUGGACCAACAUGUAAAAAAUGUCUACAGCCCAGUCAGCUGCCCGUGAUUUGCAUCACGUUCAUGCGCUCGAGUUUGGAGACGACCAGAAGGCGCCAAAACGUAUCUUUAGUUUGCAGGUGGACAAUGAAAUUAAACUGGACGUGGAUGCAGGUCAUGAAUUCAUAUCAGCAAGAUAUUGGGUGAG